rnacentral:rRNA from 1 species
AUACGUAGGGGGCGAGCGUUGUCCGGAAUGAUUGGGCGUAAAGGGCGCGUAGGCGGCCCGGUAAGUCUGGAGUGAAAGUCCUGUUUUUAAGAUGGGAAUUGCUUUGGAUGCUGUCGGGCUUGAGUGCAGGAGAGGGAGGUGGAAUUCCCAGUGUAGCGGUGAAAUGCGUAGAGAUUGGGAGGAACACCAGUGGCGAAGGCGACUUACUGGACUGUAACUGACGCUGAGGCGCGAAAGUGUGGGGAGCAAACAGGAUUAGAUACCUUGGUAGUCCACACUGUAAACGAUGAAUGCUAGGUGUAGGGGGUAUCGACCCCUUCUGUGCCGCAGUCAACACAAUAAGCAUUCCGCCUGGGGAGUACGGCCGCAAGGUUGAAACUCAAAUGAAUUGACGGGG